GAGUUUGAUCCUGGCUCAGAACGAACGCUGGCGGCAUGCCUAACACAUGCAAGUCGAACGGGAUCCGGACUUCGGUUCGGUGAGAGUGGCGGACGGGUGAGUAACGCGUGGGAACCUGCCCAGUGGUGGGGGAUAACUGCGGGAAACUGCAGCUAAUACCGCAUGAGCCCGAGAGGGGAAAGAUUUAUCGCCAUUGGAGGGGCCCGCGUUCGAUUAGGUAGUUGGUGAGGUAAUGGCUCACCAAGCCGACGAUCGAUAGCUGGUCUGAGAGGAUGAUCAGCCACACUGGGACUGAGAUACGGCCCAGACCCCUACGGGAGGCAGCAGUGGGGAAUAUUGGACAAUGGGGGCAACCCUGAUCCAGCAAUGCCGCGUGAGUGAUGAAGGCCUUCGGUUGUAAGAC
rnacentral:rRNA from 1 species